rfam:Brassica napus, WGS project CCCW01000000 data, contig: 16898
GUCCCUUCCGGACAUGCGAUAAAAUUUGAACGAUACAAAAAAAUUAGCAUGGCCCUGCACAAGGAUGACACGCAUAAAAGAGAAAUGGUCCAAAUUUUU